GAUGAACGCUGGCGGCGUGCCUAAUACAUGCAAGUCGAGCGAACGGACGAGAAUCUUGCUUCUCUGAUGUUAGCGGCGGACGGGUGAGUAACACGUGGAUACCCUACCUAUAAGACUGGGAUAACUUCGGGAAACCGGAGCUAAUACCGGAUGAUAUUUUGAACCGCAUGGUUCAAAAGUGAAAGACGGUCUUGCUGUCACUUCUAGCUGGAUCCGCGCUGCAUUAGCUAGUUGGUAAGUUAACGGCUUACCAAGGCAACGAGGCAUAGCCGACCGGAGAGGGGGAUCGGCGGCACGGGAGCUGAGACACGGACCAGACUCCUAAGGGAGGGCGCAGUAGGGAAUCUUCCGCAAUGGGCGAAAGCAUGACGGAGCAAGGCCGCGUGAGUGAUGAAGGUACUCGGUUCGUAAAACUCUGCUAUUAGGGAAGAACAGAUGUGUAAGGAACUGUGCACAUCUUGACGGUACCUAAUCAGAAAGCAACGGCUAACUACGUG
rnacentral:rRNA from 1 species